GCUACAGGGGCAGGGACGGAUUGGUGGAGACGUGCACACAGCAUAUACACAGUCAGAUACGUUGCUACUAUUAUUUUGCUGGAAACUUUAAGAGGUGACGCAAAUAUUUUACUGGAUUUUUACUCUGGGUCACCCCUACUCUUCCUCUUCUGCCACACAGCUCUCCAAAAUCAUUAGCAAUAGACGCACGCUUCAGAGUCUCUCCUGGCUCAAUUUAUCUUACAGACGUGACAGAAAGAGAUAAAGGAAUUUAUUUACCGUCAUCUGGUGGCCAUCAGCGUCACAAUGUUGUUGAACUGAGUCUUGGGUGAGAAUUUGGGCUGUACUUUAUAUUUACAUCAAAAAUAUAUAGGUAUGUGUUUAGCUACUUGUUCCUAAAUACAAGUCCAUUUUUUUUUUCUUAAUGUGCAUUUUAAGAAUGUGCCAAAAAGGUCACAAGGGAUUACUACUAUACUUGGGAGUACUCUAUCCCUAGACGGGCUGAAAUCCUGGAGUUUAUUCCCCUUCACAGUCUGGACCAGCCAAAGAUCCUGUGGAAUCGCACAGACUCAGAGAAAAGUAGGGCAUGGGUGGAAAAACAUAAGUGAGAGCUAUCUUAUCUCACUCAGGCAGACAAUGGCUGCUACAACUUUACAGGGCGCUGCUACAAGGUGUGCAGUACAAGCUGAUGUGAGAUUUCUGCAUUUUACCAAAUUAGAUGUUCUUAUGAAGUCUGAUCUGUGUCACUAACAGAACUAACACUUCACUUGAAUGCAAAGACAAAUGAGCGCUUCGUCGUUCCAUACCUUCACACCAUUAAGAUGUGGGCUGUGACUUUUACGCCUCAAGGGGAAAUGGAACCCAGAACACUGAUGAAUGGCAGUCUGAUCAUAAAUUUGUCAGAUAAUUGGUUCUUUGACAGAAUUCAGACAGUCAUGGAUGGCAUAGAAAUGAAUGCUGUAGAAGCAAUAGACUCUGGCACCUUGGAGUUCAGACACCCAGAAGGCGACCUGGCCUUGAGUGGACAGCUUGAAGCGAAUCGAGCAUUUAUGUCAGAGAGUACAUUACUCACUGUUAUUGCCUUGGUUGCCAUCAUUGGAAUCAUCUGCAUUUGCUGGUCUUGUAAAAUGAACUGCCAGUCUUCUCAGACUGAAGGCUCACCUGAGCCUAAUGUAUAUUAUCAUGAUCAGGAUCAACCUACAGGUCAACGUUAUUCAGGUGAACCACCUCCUCCAUAUUGGUCCUGUCAGCCCAUGAAUUUUCAUGUUUCUGAACAACCUACGGGUACCUCGUCUGAGCCACCGG